ACUCACAAGCAUGGAGUCCAUGUGUGGUAGGCGGUUCAUUAAAAUGGCAUCUAAGGAAAUGAAAAACAGCCUGCAUUCAAAAUACAUGCAUGGCCCAUCUGAUUAGAAGUUGAGACUAUGUCCUUCUUUCUCGGCCAAGGUAGGUACAAAGUUUCUCGUCUGUUUGUUGAGUGGUGUCGGAUUUGUGAACUUCCUGGCAAUACUGAUGUCGCUUAUACCCAUUAUAUCUCACAGUUACUACAAAGUGGGUUGCUUAAAGGGGAUGAUCUCACGGAUCGCUUUUUCCGAAUCCUCAUGGAAAUUUCUGUAGCAAAUUGUUUGGCAACUGACAUGAUUAAUCCAAGCUCAUUGUCCCUAUAAACGCCACAACAAGUCCAACAUCUCUCAUUUGCUGUUAUUGAUAUGUAUGCAAAGCUUGUGGUUUUAGUUAUUAAGUAUUGUACGGUGGACCAGGGAUCAAGUAAAGUGUUUCUCUUGCCCAAGAUUUUGUCAGUGAUUGUGAGAGUUAUCCAAAAGGAUGCAGAAGAGAAGAAAGCUGCUUUCAGCCGAAAGGCAUAUUUCAGAUUGUUUCUGAACUGGCUUUUGGACCUUGGUUCCCCUGACCCUAUCCUUGAUAGUUCCAACUUUCAGGUUCACUUUCUGUACAAAGGCACUCUAAGGGUGCUCUUGGUACUGCCUCAGGAUUUUCCGGAGUUCCUUUGUGAUUAUCAUUUCAGCUUCUGUGAUGUGAUUCCACCCAGUUGCAUUCAAAUGCGGAAUGUUAUUCAAAGUGCAUUCCCAUAAAACAUGAGAUUGAUUUGCUGGCUGAAAUCAGCCAAUCACCGAGCAUUCUCUUUGAGGUUGAUGGUGCUCUGAAAGCAAAGCAGAUUAAGGCUGACAUUGAUGAGUAUCUCAAGUUAUCUUGAGUUGUCAUUAUUUUUCUCUACCUAACAUUGAGAAAUUCUCUUAUUUUCAUAUUUACAUAACAAACCAAGCUAUACUAUUU